UACGUAGGGUGCGAGCGUUGUCCGGAAUUAUUGGGCGUAAAGAGCUCGUAGGCGGCUUGUCGCGUCGAAUGUGAAAACCCACAGCUCAACUGUGGGCUUGCAUCCGAUACGGGCAGGCUAGAGUUCGGUAGGGGAGACUGGAAUUCCUGGUGUAGCGGUGAAAUGCGCAGAUAUCAGGAGGAACACCGGUGGCGAAGGCGGCAUCCUGGACCAACACUGACACUGAGGAGCGAAAGCCAGGGGAGCAAACGGG
rnacentral:rRNA from 1 species